rnacentral:lncRNA from 1 species
AAAUCAGCUCUUUAUUACUAUGAAAAAAGGUUACAAGGGUACUUGGAUUACAUCGCCACGGCGAUAUUACGCCUGCCUACGGUAAUUCUACACUAGCAACGGAACAACGAGGUGGUGAUGGGCUCCCGUCUGCAGUGACUCUGGCUGGAACGUGUAUCCUAGAUCGCAACUUGGGAUCCUCGACAAGCAAGCAAUCAUGGCAUGACCUGCAAACUGGCAUGACACGUCAGGUGAGUACUUUGAAUGUACUCGCAAGCUCACAACAAACAUCAGCAUUAAGACAAGACAACAUCAUAGUAAUCAAUAUUAGGUAAAGAUUCAUCAGCACCAAAGGGAUAGUUGAAAAUAACUAUACCAGGCUACUCUCACCGUACUCUGGUGACCAACUCGUGAUCUCACCAAGAUCCUUCAGUGAAUAUCCUCAACACGGACACCAAGACUUGUCACCGGCAUGAUGCCCAACUGCUACCAUACUCAUACGAGUUCUUCCAUCAUUAUCAUCACUAUCAUGGUUAUGGUUGACCACCUAGUAAGGUCUGGACGGGUGUCCAAUACCGUGGACGCGGCUAUUCAAAUAGAUUUUUCACUCUGCAGAGGUUGUGCACUUUACCCACAUCAUGGAGCGUCUGACCUCGUGAUCCCAUUCGGGUGGACCUGUGUUGCUCCAACAAAACUUGCCUGACCCGUGACUCCCCCUCCAUACCACCGGCAUUCAUCCUCCCCCGGAGUCGUGCCCUGGGUGGCCCCUGUGUCCUCAUGACACCUGCCACCAUCGUGGCCAAACUAAACUGUCCCAAACGAAGACGGGCCCAAACAACUCAACAGGGCUCACAAGGUUACAAUCGCCUACCAGGCCAGGGUAGCGCGCAUAACCUUUCCUCUUUGGUGGUACAAAUAAAAGAGCACGCGAUCGGACCAAGUCAAGGCCAUCCCAUACCGGCAAAUGUGGCUGAACGGAUAAGCCCCAACAGGUGACUCCUGAUCAACCAACUAAGUAUAUUAUCCCCCAAAUAAUAUUUAGAUCAUAGCUGACACUCCAAUAUCAUAGUAAUCCAGUAACCAAUAAGCUCAAGCCACUGCUAUUGAUUCAUAUCCAUAGACUGCCGGAUGAAACCUAAAAUAAUCAUAGACAAUAAUCUUGAACAGCAUGGCACUAACUAGUGUGUAAAAUACUAGUUACUAAUCCCGUACUCAACAUGGUAGUCACCUCAGAAUUUAUUCAAACAUUGCAUAAUCUAAUCCAUACUACAAAUAAUUAUGAUUGCGACUAAAUUAAUUGAUUAAACUAUGAUAUUGCAAUGCAAUUAUGCAAAUGAGGGUUGUGGCUUGCCUCGGGGUGAUAGAACCAUCGGGAAGAAGUGCGGAAAGUCCGCGGAAUUGAUUGACGGGCACAGUUCUCUCUCAAAGGGUCUCGAUCGGAGUUGGGAUCGCGAAGAUACAGAUGUUCAUUUGUUAGGCAGAAAAUAAAAACCAUUUAUUUAUGCUCUUGACCAGUGAACGUUCAUAAUAUAGCAGAUUCGAUCGGCUGGUUAGAACUGAAAGCGCAUUCGCGGAAGUGCGUUUUGAAUUAAGAGAAAACGUAUUCCUGCUCCAGGCCGAAGCAAAGUAUGCCUUCAUAAUGGGGAAACGUAUUAUACAAAAUACGUUUUCACUAAUGCCAGUCAACGGGUUAGCCUAGUCAGCGCCUGGGCCGCUGACGCGCGGGGCCCACCUGCAGGUUAUAUCCCCGGCCUCUAGUCACCUUCAUCCUCCUGACAAAGGACAGGGAAGGGCUCGGGCACCGGCACCGGCGUUGCCUCGCCGUGCCAGAAGGUUGGCCGACGAGCGCGGCGGUACUGCCACUCCGUCUCACGCCCGGGGGAAGCGGCGGGGCGUCCGAGGGAGCUCACCACGCCGAGGCCAUCGACGGGGUUGCAGCGGUCGGAUGCCUUGGGGGAGCGACGCCGGUGGGGCCUCUCCGGAGGAAAGGAGGGCGGAGGCGGCUCUGGUGGGUCUCGGGUAGGCUAGUUGAGGGGUUAGGAAGGAAAGAGGGCUUUGGGGAUGGGUUUUGGCCAUGGGGAUCGGCGGCGGCUGUCUCGGCCAUGGGUGAGGAGAGGAGCUCCCUGAGCUCGAAUGGGAGGGGUUGGGUUUGCUGGUAGCAAGGAGGGCUCGGGGCACGCCCUAUAUAGGCCCGGGGAGGAGCUACGUGAUGGCGGCCGAGGCUUCGAGAUGGUCGUCGCCGUGGCGGCGCUCCGGCGGUCGACAAACACAGCCGUAAGGUACAUGACGAGGGGGAGAGGGAUCUGGAGGGUGCGCAAACGCACUGGGAAGCUCUCCGACGCUCGUGGACAAGCCAGGGCUCGCUGGAGAGGCGCUCCCGACGACUCGAAUGCACAGGGCACAAU